rnacentral:rRNA from 1 species
UACGGGGGGUGCGAGCGUUGUCCGGAAUCACUGGGCGUAAAGGGCGCGUAGGUGGUCUGAUAAGGGUGUGGUGAAAGCCCGGGGCUCAACCCCGGGUCGGCCGUGCCGACUGUUAGACUAGGGUGCUGUAGGGGCAGGCGGAAUUCCGGGUGUAGCGGUGGAAUGCGUAGAGAUCCGGAGGAAGACCGGUGGCGAAGGCGGCCUGCUGGGCAGUUACUGACACUGAGGCGCGACAGCGUGGGGAGCAAACAGG